rnacentral:rRNA from 1 species
AUUGAACGCUGGCGGCAUGCCUAACACAUGCAAGUCGAACGGCAGCACGGGUGCUUGCACCUGGUGGCGCGUGGCGAACGGGUGAGUAAUCCAUCGGUACAUGUCCUGUUGUGGGGGAAAGUCCGGCGACAGCCGGAUUUAUACCGCAUACGAUCCACGGGAGAAAGCGGGGGCCCUUCGGGCCUCGCGCUCUAGUGUUGGCCGAUGGCUGAUUAGCUAGUUGGUGGGGUAAAGGCCUACCAAGGCGACGAUCAGUAGCUGGUCUGAGAGGACGACCAGCCACACUGGGACUGAGACACGGCCCAGACUCCUACGGGAGGCAGCAGUGGGGAAUUUUGGACAAUGGGCGAAAGCCUGAUCCAGCAAUGCCGCGUGUGUGAAGAAGGCCUUCGGGUUGUAAAGCACUUUUGGUCGGAAAGAAAUCCAUGACUCUAAUACAGUCGGGGGAUGACGGUACCGGAAGAAUAAGCACCGGCUAACUACGUG